UGGAAUGACUGACAGAUUCGGCUGAUAAAGUAAGUGAACAAAGCAGCCAGGGGCAGCGCGGCGGCAAUGUGGGCGACAUCUGCUCGCAGGCGUGCCAGGCCGCCUGAUCGUGUGCGCAGUUACGUGCAUGCUCGUCAAGGAGCCCAUCACCUGCUUCGCCAACUGCACCGUGUCCAGCUCGCUUCUGCAAGCCCGCGAGCCUGUAUAAUGUGCCUAUAUGCGUUUUGUUGUUCCACGUCUCCAAUAUGCAACAAUGGCUACUUAUAUACUCCCUCCA
rnacentral:lncRNA from 1 species